rnacentral:rRNA from 1 species
UGCCAGCCGCCGCGGUAAUACGGAGGGUGCAAGCGUUAUCCGGAUUUAUUGGGUUUAAAGGGUGCGUAGGCGGAAUGAUUAGUCAGUGGUGAAAUCCCCCGGCUCAACCGGGGAACUGCCAUUGAUACUGUCAUUCUUGAGUACACUUGAAGUGGGCGGAAUGUAUCAUGUAGCGGUGAAAUGCAUAGAUAUGAUACAGAACACCGAUAGCGAAGGCAGCUCACUAAAUUGUAACUGACGCUAAGGCACGAAAGCGUGGGGAGCGAACAGGAUUAGAUA